AGUGGCGUGACCAUGGCUCGCUGUAGCCUCCACCUCCUGGGCCCAAGCAAUCCUCCCACCUCAGCCUCCAGGUAGCUGGGACCACACGUGCGUGCCACCAUGCCCAGCCAGCAACCUCAUUAUGAUGUGUUAAGACUAUGUGGGCAUCCGGCUGUCCUGCCAGUUCUUAGAGGUCAGAUUCUCCUGUAACUGCUGCGGUGGGAGGGAGAGGAUGAAAGGGCUAUAGAUGGGGCUGUGUCCUGGCCCACUUACUGGCCCACUGCUGGCCCCUCCUUUGAAUCUCUGUCUCCACCUGGACUCUGGUACUUGGGGGAUGUCUCUGCACAGCCUUCAGUCUACUUCUGCCGGGCACCGCCUGUCAUAGGGAUGUUCUGCUUUGCUGCCUUAGGAUGUUGUUUUGUGGGAGGCCACGGCCCAAGGCUGCCCUGGGCCUCAUCUCUGUCACCGGGUGGGAGCACCUGCCCUGCCAUGGUGCCCAGGGGCCUUUGGGGACCCCAGAAUAUAUCCUCAAAAUGUCUUGUACCCAUACAUACCCCCUCCUCAGGCAGAACUCAGACUCAGGUCAGUGUAGCUGGCGGCGGUCCGUGGUGAACGAAGCGCAGUGCAGGCUCAGAACGUCAGGUGAUGGGGCUGGGGGCUGAGCAUCCUGGAGCGCAUUUGUUGGAGGGCGGGAAACUCAUUUUAAUGUUGGAGGGCGGGAAACUCAUUUUAAUGAGUAUCAAACAUGCAGUGCACUUUUUUCACGUGAUGGAUUCUUUCAAUGUCACUGCUUGGAAUCUGGUUUACUUUUCCCCAAAUAUGAUAGACAUUCUUGGUUUCUCAGCUUAGAGAGUGUGUGGCCUUCAGUCCUCAGAAAACUCUGUCCUAGAUGAUAGUGUUGUAGGCCUCUCUUUCCCUCCCUCCUCUUUCCAUCUUUCUGUCCGUGGGCAGCUGGCAGUGGAAGUACCUGCCUAGGAUGGGGAUGAGGCCCGGGUCAGGGCCGGGUGCCGUGCAGCCUCAGCGGCUCCGACGGGCCUGGCACGGAGCCAGUCGGAGUCCUUUGGGUGUUCGCGGGGAUGCAGUGGGCUCUCUCGGGCACAGUCGUGACCAGGGGCGGAGGGGACUCCCAUCUCCCGGGCAGGAUGCAUGCGGUUUUCUGCCGUCCUGGGGAGCACAUGACGCCUGGGAAGCAGUGGCCGGGAGGUGAUUCACCCGGGGGAGCAGGGCCUGGAAAACAGUGUCUGUCUUGAAGCUCCGGGAACCAGGAAAAUGAGCUGGAAAUGUGAGUAAUGUAUAAUUUUACUAAAAUUAACCAGCCAGUUCUCUGGGCCUUUUCUCACUGUUUUCAGCAUCUUUGUCUGACCCGUAGUGCCCACUGUGCUGUGUUCCAUGGACCAUCUUUCCAGUUAGUGCGCCUGGAAGUCCCCUUCUCCCCGCUGCCCUGCGUAGGGUAGGCGCGCAGUGGGGCUAUGGGAGCACAGAUGGUGGAUUUAGGUGCGGGGCUGCCCUGUCCUUACCUCUGCCCUGGCAGCUGGCAGCCCUGGCACCCCUCUCCUCUGUGUUGUGGUCUCCAAGUCAUGCUUGGAUUUCCUGAGGCGCCGCUGAGUCUUGCACGUGACUGUGCCAUGCCCCUAGGACAUAAGGUGCGAGGGGUGGGCAAUGCCUUCUGUGCCCCGACCUUGGCUUCGGACAUGGGCAGAUGCGGCCUGAGCUUGAGGCUGCUCCUCCUUGCCACCCGGGAGUGUCUUUAUCCUUGGACUUCUGUCUUUAGAUACUUGGACCUCGCCUGGAGCCAAAGCCGUCACUUGGGAGCUGCAGCCCCUCCCGGGCCUUUCUGUUCCUGCUAGAUUGUAAGCCCGUGAGAAGGCAGGGCUGUGGCUUCCUUUCUGUAACCUCCACAGAACAGAGACUCAACUAGCACUGGCUGAGUGAACGGAAGUCUAAAUUCAGAGGCACACCAUGUUUGAGGCGCUCCUGAAUCCAUGACAUGAGCCCCCAGGUCCGUGCACUUCAUGAAGUGGCCCGUGGAAGUAUCAGUGAGGUGGAGAGAAGCCAUUCACUCAUGUCGUUAACAAUGAAAUUGUAUCUUUAUCUGAAUUUGAAGGGAGCGGGACACUGAAGAUGAGGAUGUGUGGUGACACUGAUGAAUUGAGUAUUCGACAACCAAGCCCUGUUUAGGUAGAAGCCAGUGGAUCUCAGGCCUGCUUGGCUUGACGUCCGUUCUGUGGAAGAUCCUCUGGUGAUGUCGGUGUCUGGGAUCGUAACCCUUGAGGCAUUCAUUGCAGAAACCUGUGCUGUCUUCUGAACUGCCGCGGACAGCUGACAUCAUGGACAGGCUGGUUUCAGUAUUAAGGUUUUUAGUAUUUUAAUGUUUUGAAAAUCGCUAGGAUGUAUGUGGCGUUGAUGGAACCUGCUAUCUAGGCUCUGGCCAGAACAUUCUCUUCCAUGGUUGUCUUAAUGGGCUGGACGUUUAUUCCUUAAUUGCUUUUAAGACAUUCUGUAUCAUCAGCCAGAGAAUAAAAGGAAAGAAAGAAACCCAUAAACGAAUACUGGGUCCUUUACAGCUAAUCACCCUAUAAUCAAUACACUCGGUUCAAGACUGACAGGGUUCUCUUGGUGCUCACUAAGGGCUGCACUGCGCCGCUGUGAUUGUUUUGGUUUAGGGCUGACUGGGUCCUCUUGGCACUCCCUGAUUUUGGUUUGUGUGCUGUUUGUCCCCCGUUUAGGGUCCUCUGGGUGGAUCUUACUAUGACCACAUGGUUACAUGGAGACGCCGAGGCUUGGAACGCCUUGGGGCACUGAGUGGCAAGCCGAGCACGUGCCCCUGCUAGAGAUGGCACAGAAUGACAUCACAACAUCACAGCCGAGGCUACACUCAGGCCCCCUCUGGUGCUUCUCCUGCUCAGCCCUUAACAGCUCACUGAUUGGGCUGCAGAGUCCAUCUGAAGGCUUGAACGCACCUCCAGUUGACUCCUCAGCCCUCCAGCUCUCCAUGAUUCUGCCCAUCCACAGUUCCACUCCACGAUACCUGCCUUUCUUACCCGGUCACCCAUGCGCUGUUUCUCUUCAUUCACCUGUUAAGUCUCUCUCUGUGCGCCCAUGGUAGCAGGGUAAUGAGAUAGGAGGGACGAGGUAACGUGAGGAGGGGCAGGUGCGUAGAUGAAGAGAUCAUUGACCGUGGGUGAUGGGUUCUAUAUUAAAGAUUUGCAUGGGGCGCUUUGGGAUUUUACACUGCAGCUGUGGUUGGCAGUGCAGGACAGGGGGAGGAGGGAGGCUAGAGCGGCACCGCCUGUACACAGCCACAGAGGCACAGAGUGGCUGCGUCUUAUUUGAGGAAUGGCAAGUAGACGGCUGGAACUACAGAGCACAACAUUUGGAGGCCUGGAGCCAGAGAUGAGGAUGGGAAGGUGGUCAGGCCCAGAGGCUACCAAGGCCCGUGCUGAGCUGCUAAAAAUGUUAACUAAGGGCUGAAUGUGGUUGGAUUUGCUUUAUAAAGAGAUUGCUCUGGGAUGGAUACAAGCAAAACAGGAAAUCUGAAUAAGGUUGGUAGUUGUCUUACCCUGGUUGUGAUAUUGUACUGUAGUUUUACAAGAUGCCACCAUCCGGGGAGUCGGGGUACAGGAUGCAUGUGAUGGCUCUGUGUUCUUACAGCUGAAGUUAAUCAACAGUUUCAGAAAGACCAGCUCAUUAGUUAUGGAAAAAGAUUACCCUGUCAGCGGAGAAUGUGGUGAAUUCAAGAGGCAAGACCCAAGACUGACACAUCAGAUGGAGGCGGUGCUGACUGUCUCGCCUGGAUUCCACGUGGCAUCGCCUGAGAGCUCAGCGCAUGGCCAGGGCUAGGGAUGGACCUUCUGAACUCAGUUCACUCUUGCUCGUGUGUCCUGGAUGAGAGAGCUGCGUGCUGGCUCCCUGCGGCAUCCUGGGAGCACCAGAGCAGACGUCACCACGUGUCAGCCAGAGGAGCCUGAGCUGAUUAUUCCACCACUCCGAGUCUCGGGGUUCUCGUCUGGAAAGGGGGUGGUGGAGGCAUUGCCUGCUUAGUGCUGUUAGGAAGACGGGCUGAGCAGUACUGUGGAGGCUUAGGGCCUGGCAUGUAGGACACAGCCGGUGACUGGAUCAUUGUCAGUGUCCCCGUCCUGUCCAAAUGGCAGGUCCUUAUCAAACCAGCUUGGCCUCCAGCUCCCCAGGCUCCGAGGGGGUGGAGAUUAUUGUAGAAGUGAACAGAGAGUCGGGCAGAGGACGCCGCUGAGUCAGGGGCUCCAUCUUCUGUGGAGCUGACUUUGGACUCUGCCGGCAGCAGCCUCCCCGGCACCCAGGGGCUUUGGGGUCAGGCUGACCCGGGCUGGUAGCCGGCUCCUCCUCAUGCUGCCCAGCCACACGACCUGAGCUUCAGGGUAAAGAAUUAAAUAAGCAACACGGAGUGCCUGGCACACAGUCACUGUCCCUUUUGCCUUUCAGAAAAUGCCAGGGAUUCCCUCUGAACG